rnacentral:rRNA from 1 species
AUUGAACGCUGGCGGCAUGCUUUACACAUGCAAGUCGAACGGUAACAGGCCGCAAGGUGCUGACGAGUGGCGAACGGGUGAGUGAUGCAUCAGAACGUGCCCAGUCGUGGGGGAUAACGCAGCGAAAGCUGCGCUAAUACCGCAUACGAUCUAUGGAUGAAAGCGGGGGACCGUAAGGCCUCGCGCGAUUGGAGCGGCCGACGUCAGAUUAGGUAGUUGGUGGGGUAAAGGCUCACCAAGCCAACGAACUGUAGCUGGUCUGAGAGGACGGACAGCCACACUGGGACUGAGACACGGCCCAGCCUCCUACGGGAGGCAGCAGUGGGGAAUUUUGGACAAUGGGCGCAAGCCUGAUCCAGCAAUGCCGCGUGCAGGAAGAAGGCCUUCGGGUUGUAAACUGCUUUUGUACGGAACGAAACGGUCCUGGUUAAUACCCGGGGCUAAUGACGGUACCGUAAGAAUAAGCACCGGCUAACUACGUGCCAGCCGCCGCCGUAAAAC